AAGGUGAUAUGAACCGUUAUAACCGGCGAUACCCGAAUGGGGAAACCCAGUGUGAUUCGUCACACUAUCAUUAACUGAAUCCAUAGGUUAAUGAGGCGAACCGGGGGAACUGAAACAUCUAAGUACCCCGAGGAAAAGAAAUCAACCGAGAUUCCCCCAGUAGCGGCGAGCGAACGGGGAGGAGCCCAGAGCCUGAAUCAGCAUGUGUGUUAGUGGAAGCGUCUGGAAAGGCGCGCGAUACAGGGUGACAGCCCCGUACACAAAAGCGCAUGUGCUGUGAGCUCGAUGAGUAGGGCGGGACACGUGGUAUCCUGUCUGAAUAUGGGGGGACCAUCCUCCAAGGCUAAAUACUCCUGACUGACCGAUAGUGAACCAGUACCGUGAGGGAAAGGCGAAAAGAACCCCGGCGAGGGGAGUGAAAAAGAACCUGAAACCGUGUACGUACAAGCAGUGGGAGCCCCACCACCAAAGCAUUUGCUGUACCGCGUUGACGGAGCGAAGCGACGUCAAACCGAUAAAACAGCAGUGUAAAGUGAGCCGCAGGGCGCUUUGCGCGACAGCGCAAAGGCA
rnacentral:rRNA from 1 species